UGAGCCGGCCGGGCGGCCGCGUCGGCGGGGAGACCCGCCGCCGAGGAAAGUCCGGACUCCGCAGGGCAGGGUGGUUGUUAACGGCAACCUGGGGCGACCCACGGGACAGUGCCACAGAGAACAGACCGCCCGGACGCGCGAGCGGACCGGGUAAGGGUGAAACGGUGGUGUAAGAGACCACCAGCAUCCCGGGUGACCGGGAUGGCUCGGUAAACCCCACCUGGAGCAAGGCCAAGAAGGUCCCGCCCUUCCGGGCGGGGCCUGCGCGAGUGCUUGAGGGCUGCCCGCCCGAGCUCGCGGGUAGGCCGCACGAGCCCGUCGGCGACGGCGGGCCCAGAUGGAUGGCCGCCGAAGGGAACGCCGCGAGGCGUCCCGGAACAGGAUCCGGCUUACAGGCCGGCUCAUCCC
rnacentral:RNase_P_RNA from 2 species